rnacentral:misc_RNA from 1 species
AAUAAUAAGUGCACGUUUUGUUUCGCUGUUAUAUGGGGAAAAUCUAUUUUAAGUACUUUUGUCUAAAUUUACCACGAGAAGGGGCAAGUUCAAUAUCCAAAAUGAAAGGUCCAGUCUUCCGGACUAAAAAGAAAACCCGUCUACUCACUUUAAACACAAAUCACACAUUUAUCCAGUAGGGUGAAACCAAAUUUUUGUAUGGAAGCUUUUUUUUAAUAAAAUAUCGAAAAAAAUUUA